AACUUUGUACCUCUUGUUUUAUUAUUUCAUGUAGACUCAAUUCAAGUUUCGAAAUAAUGACAUAUCUUUUAUUUCUAUUUAAUCCUUUCCCUUAAAUGUAUUCCUGAAAUUUGUCAAGGUUAUUUUAUCGUUAUAAGUCGUCAAAUUCCGUAUUGUUUUCUACAUUAUUUAGAUAUAAAAAUAAGAAGAUGUGGUAUGAUUGCCAAUGAGACAACUCUCCACAAGAGACCAAAUAACACAGAAAUUAACAACUAUAGGUCACCGUACGGCCUUCAACAAUGAGCAAAGCCCAUACCGCAUAGUCAGCUCUAAAAGGCUCCGAAAUGACAAAUGUAAAACAAUUCAAACGAGAAAACUAACGGCCUAAUUUAUGUACAAAAUAAUGAAAUCUAGAUAGAUAUAAGGAAAUGAGGUAUGAGUGCCAAUAAGACAACUCUCCAUCCAAGUCACAAUUUAUAAAUUUAAACCAUUAUAGGUCAAAGUACGGACUUCAACACGGAGCCUUGGCUCACACCGAACAGCAAGCUAUAAAGAUUUCUACUUUUAGGAAUGUAAUAAGUAUAUUAAAGUGUCAGAAGACAUCGGAUACGAAGCUGCCAAAGUCGGAAAAAAAUAGUACUAACAGAUGUUAGACAGAGCUCACGAUGUUUAUUGGAUACAUUUGAAGAGACAAAUAAAAUCUGGAACAGAAUAAAGCCGUAUAUACCUGCAACAUGGCAAAACCGGAAAGUAAUAGGCUUGAAUGAAAGAUUACGAUUCCUUCGAUAUGAUCCAGGGGAAUAUUUCAAACCUCACUAUGAUGGACGAUAUGAAAGGGAAACUGGAGAAAAAAGUUACUUUACUAUACAGGUGUAUCUCAAUGAGGGUUAUAAGGGCGGCAGUACUAAUUUUCUCAGCAGAAAUAGGAAGGAAAAGAUGGAAUUUGUACCAAAGUUGGGUUGCAUUUUGGUUUUUCAACACGACAUGCUUCACGAAGGUUCCGAACUAAUUUCUGGUAGAAAAUAUACUAUACGUACAGACAUAAUGUAUAGUUCUAUAACAAUUUAAUGUUUAUAAAAGUACUUUAAUUUUGAUGCAUUUUUAUAGCAUUGCAAUGUUAUUAAUAUGAAUUUUUUGAAGCACUGAAAUAAAGUGAAUUAUAGUAUUUGA